AAGAUAACUGCACAAAAUUGAGGAUGGAAUUUAGCUAGAUUUCAAUUGUGCAAGGAAAACAUCAAACUUGGGUUCCAUUUGCUCAAAUGGGAAAUUACGUAGUAGGCUGUAACAGUGCCAGCAGAAUUCCCAGGUGUGAAGUAUUGCUAUUAAGUAGUACUAGCAUUGCCAUUUCCCUCAGUGGUAUCAAGUCCCAGAAAGAAGAAAGGAUUGAGAAGUAUAUUUCGAGAUCAAUUGCUGUCAUGAACAAUGAAUGCUGAAGGGAUCAAUUGCUUUGAAAAUGAAGUUUGGUAGAGGAACAUACCUGACCUAUUGGUUAGCACAAGCUGAAGAUCAUCACCUUUACCUGCAAUCAAUUCUUGAUUACCU